rnacentral:rRNA from 1 species
AUUGAACGCUGGCGGCAUGCCUUACACAUGCAAGUCGAACGGCAGCACAGGAGAGCUUGCUCUCUGGGUGGCGAGUGGCGGACGGGUGAGGAAUACAUCGGAAUCUACUUUUUCGUGGGGGAUAACGUAGGGAAACUUACGCUAAUACCGCAUACGACCUACGGGUGAAAGCAGGGGACCUUCGUGCCUUGCGCGAUUGAAUGAGCCGAUGUCGGAUUAGCUAGUUGGCGGGGUAAAGGCCCACCAAGGCGCCCAUCCGUAGCUGGUCUGAGAGGAUGAACAGCCACACUGGAACUGAGACAAGGUCCAGACUCCUUAGGGAGGCAGCAGUGGGGAAUAUUGGACAAUGGGCGCAAGCAUGAUCCAGCCAUACCGCGUGGGUGAAGAAGGCCUUCGGGUUGUAAAGCCCUUUUGUUGGGAAAGAAAUCCAGCUGGCUAAUACCCGGUUGGGAUGACGGUACCCAAAGAAUAAGCACCGGCUAACUUUGUGCCAGCCGCCGCGGUAA